AUACAGUACUGUAUGAUCCUUCUCCAAGGAUUUCGCCAAAUUUAAAAUCCGAAACUCGUUUUAUGUUAGGAGUCGAUGCACCGCUAGACGGAUUUGGAGUAGAGAUAUGUGGGACUGCAGAGGGAAUCUUCGGCGAUGAAUCGAUCUGAGACGUUGACUCAUUUGGUGUAGUAUUUAAAGCAUUAGACUGCGGGAUGGCACUAUUUUGCGUCUUUGGUAAUGAAGCUCGGUUUAGUUUUUCACUUGAUCCAUGAUCAAAACUAAGGUCGGAUUCGCUUUGAGUAUCAUUUUCUGCAUCUUCUGAUGCUUCAGUUUCAUUCGGAUUGUGCGUAUUUCGCAUAACCAAUAUCUGGUGUGAAGAGAGUACUGGGUAGGUGAAUCAGUGUCAGUAAACUACGAAUUGACGGCAAUGUCAUCAAAAGAAAAUUGCACAUAUUCGGUAAAAUUAGUGCUUAUAACUGCAAGUAUACAACUAUUGUACUAUUGUUAUAUAAGAUUUUGCUAUCCGGGUUAUGAUUUGCAUCGUUGUGAGUGCGAAAAUUAAUAUUGCAUGGAC